AUACGUAGGUGACAAGCGUUAUCCGGAUUUACUGGGCGUAAAGGGCGUGUAGGCGGUCUUGCAAGUCAGAAGUGAAAUUCCUGAGCUCAACUCGGGCGCUGCUUCUGAAACUGCAGGACUUGAGUGCUGGAGGGGAUAGCGGAAUUCCUAGUGGAGCGGUAAAAUGCGCAGAUAUUAGGAAGAACACCGGUGGCGAAGGCGGCUAUCUGGACAGUAACUGACGCUGAGGCGCGAAAGCGUGGGGAGCAAACAGGAUUAGAUCCCCUGGCAGUCCACGCCGUAAACGAUGAAUACUAGGUGUAGGGGGUAUCGACUCCCUCUGUGCCGCAGUUAACACAAUAAGUAUUCCGCCUGGGGAGUACGGCCGCAAGGUUGAAACUCAAAUGAAUUGACGGGG
rnacentral:rRNA from 1 species